rnacentral:rRNA from 1 species
GAGUUUGAUCGUGGCUCAGAUUGAACGCUGGCGGCAGGCCUAACACAUGCAAGUCGAGCGGUAGAGAGAAGCUUGCUUCUCUUGAGAGCGGCGGACGGGUGAGUAAUGCCUAGGAAUCUGCCUGGUAGUGGGGGAUAACGCUCGGAAACGGACGCUAAUACCGCAUACGUCCUACGGGAGAAAGCAGGGGACCUUCGGGCCUUGCGCUAUCAGAUGAGCCUAGGUCGGAUUAGCUAGUUGGUGAGGUAAUGGCUCACCAAGGCGACGAUCCGUAACUGGUCUGAGAGGAUGAUCAGUCACACUGGAACUGAGACACGGUCCAGACUCCUACGGGAGGCAGCAGUGGGGAAUAUUGGACAAUGGGCGAAAGCCUGAUCCAGCCAUGCCGCGUGUGUGAAGAAGGUCUUCGGAUUGUAAAGCACUUUAAGUUGGGAGGAAGGGCAGUAAAUUAAUAACUUUGCUGUUUUGACGUUACCGACAGAAUAAGCACCGGCUAACUCUGUGCCAGCAC